rnacentral:lncRNA from 1 species
CCUUGCCUCUCUGGUGCUCCAGUUUCCCAGUGGAACCCCUAUCCCACAAGAUCAUAGCAGGGAUCACAAAGGGUUUUCAGAUCCAGAAAUCUCAGUAUUUAGAAAUAUUGCUUCUGAAACACCAGAAGUACAAUCCAGUGUAUCAUAAAAACUAUAAAGUAUGUCCUAAGGACAUAGUGAACCAUCUGAGACAAUGGUGCAUUGGAAGCAUCAGUAGGAAACCUCAGUGGAUGCUUAGUAACUAAAGAUAUCGAUGAAAUAAUUUAAUGAUAUCUACAGCUAGCAUAAGAAGCACAAGAAGCUGCAACAAGGCUAUUUUUUCCAUGAGAAUGCCACCCCAAUUCCUUCUACCAACCCACUUUAUGAAGAGGAGUGAUUUGGCAGAUCUCUUGAAAAAAGAGACUAAACAACUCCUGAGUCGUAUUGCCAUGGAGAUACAAACACAAACAGAGCACCUCCUGCUGCUUACACAAGCUCCAAGGCACCAUACACCAAGAGAUGUAACAGACCCAGGAGCUCAGGGAUGCCUGGUGGUUCUGCUGAGCUGGCACACAGCACAUGGGGGCACCACUCUCAGCUCUGCAUCCCCUUCCAUCAGCAGCUUGGUGUGGCUGUCCUCCAGCAAGCACAAGGUGCCAAGUCCCACUCUCUGA